rnacentral:rRNA from 1 species
GGCGGCAUGCCUAAUACAUGCAAGUCGAGCGAACAGAUGAAGUGCUUGCACUUCUGACGUUAGCGGCGAACGGGUGAGUAACACGUAAGGAAUCUACCUAUAAGCGGGGGAUAACAUUCGGAAACGGGUGCUAAUACCGCAUAAUAUCUUCUUCCGCAUGGAAGAAGAUUGAAAGACGGCUCUGCUGUCACUUAUAGAUGACCUUGCGGUGCAUUAGUUAGUUGGUGGGGUAAUGGCCUACCAAGACGAUGAUGCAUAGCCGACCUGAGAGGGUGAUCGGCCACAUUGGGACUGAGACACGGCCCAAACUCCUACGGGAGGCAGCAGUAGGGAAUCUUCCGCAAUGGGCGAAAGCCUGACGGAGCAAUGCCGCGUGAGUGAAGAAGGCCUUCGGGUCGUAAAACUCUGUUAUAAGAGAAGAACAAAUUGUAGAGUAACUGCUACAGUCUUGACGGUAUCUUAUCAGAAAGCCACGGCUAACUACGUG